rnacentral:rRNA from 1 species
GGGCUUGACAUCCCACGAACCUGCUGAAAGGCAGGAGUGCCCGCAAGGGAGCGCGGAGACAGGUGGUGCAUGGCUGUCGUCAGCUCGUGUCGUGAGAUGUUGGGUUAAGUCCCGCAACGAGCGCAACCCUUGUCAUUAGUUGCUACAUUUAGUUGGGCACUCUAAUGAGACUGCCGAUGACAAACCGGAGGAAGGUGGGGAUGACGUCAAGUCCUCAUGGCCCUUAUGCGUAGGGCUUCACACGUCAUACAAUGGUCGGUACAGAGGGUCGCCACACCGCGAGGUAGAGCUAAACCCAAAAAGCCGGUCUAAGUUCAGAUUGGAGUCUGCAACUCGACUCCAUGAAGGAGGAAUCGCUAGUAAUCGCGUAUCAGCACGACGCGGUGAAUACGUUCCCGGGCCUUGUACACACCGCCCGUCACACCACGAAAGCCAGCUGUACUCGAAGUCGCUGAG